CAUUCCCCUUAUUUCUGAGCUAUUUGAUAGGUUGAGGGGUGCCCGAGUAUUCACAAAACUCGAUCUGAGGAGCGCAUACAACCUAGUCAGAAUUAAGGAAGGGCAUGAGUGGAUGACCGCGUUUAAUACGAGAAUGGGACAUUAUGAAUACCUGGUCAUGCCGUUUGGCCUAUGCAACGCCCCAGCGGUAUUUCAGGACUUGAUUAACGAUGUCCUUAGAGAAUAUCUUCACAUAUUCGUACUAGUGUAUCUAGACGAUAUUCUCAUCUAUUCCCCAGACCUAGAAACUCAUC